CCUACGGGAGGCAGCAGUGGGGAAUAUUGGGCAAUGGGCGCAAGCCUGACCCAGCAACGCCGCGUGAAGGAAGAAGGCUUUCGGGUUGUAAACUUCUUUUGUCAGGGACGAAGCAAGUGACGGUACCUGACGAAUAAGCCACGGCUAACUACGGGCCAGCAGCCGCGGUAAUACGUAGGUGGCAAGCGUUAUCCGGAUUUAUUGGGUGUAAAUGGCGUGUAGGCGGGAAUGUAAGUCAGAUGUGAAAACUAUGGGCUCAACCCAUAGCCUGCAUUUGAAACUGUAUUUCUUGAGUGCUGGAGAGGAGAUCGGAAUUCCGUGUGUAGCGGUGAAAUGCGUAGAUAUACGGAGGAACACCAGUGGCGAAGGCGGAUUGCUGGACAGUAACUGACGCUGAGGCGCGAAAGCGUGGGGAGCAAACAGGAUUAGAUACCCUUGUAGUC
rnacentral:rRNA from 1 species